rnacentral:lncRNA from 1 species
GCUCAUCGUGUAUGAACCUUAGCCAGAAGAUGGAGCUUCCCACGAUUGUGAAGGCUAUGCCCAAAAUAUUGAAUAUCUUCAAGACCAGUGAGAAAAAGCUGUAGAGAAUCUCCCUAGCAUAUGUAUGUAGGAGUGAGAAACUUUGAAUAAGGGAGACCAGGUGGACUGUAGGCAAGGAAGAGGCCUGGCCUUUGAGAAUUUCUGGUUGAUAAUACAAAGAGUCAAGAUGAAGG